CUUACAUGAUACACGCUUAUGUUACAAAUUAUCUCUUUAUUCAUUGUCCCGUGUUGAGAGAAUUCGCGUUGUAUGUAGUUAAAUCUUGUUAUAUUCCUAUCUUUUUAACAGUGAGGGUUUAACAUAAGAUAUCGCAUUUCAUAAUAUACGGGUUAUAAUUGAGGGCAUACAUACGAGAUGACUGCUUUGCAGAGAAAAGUUGUUUUGAUUACUGUUAAAAUCGCAACAUAUAGGGAAGAAACACGUCUUGUAGACGCUUCACAGUCGAUAACCAUUUUGAUCGAAAACAGAGGCGAGAAGUAAAAUCGGUGAGGGUAUGGCCGUUCAUUUAGCGGGGCUUGGGUGCCGCCUGUCGCUGAACGGACGGAGCGCAGCGAACCUCGUGAGGGUCACCGAGGCGUGCAAGAAGAAACGGUGUAAGGAGGACAGUGCACGAUUGUGAGCAACAUCUCUAGAAGAGCACAUGGAAAAUACCAGGACGAGGAGCUGUAUCAGAAGUUUGCAGUAGACAACUUUCACCUCUGGAGAAAAGACAGAACAGCACAUGGAGGUGGCGUGGCGGUGUAUCUUAGGUCUCAAAUAGCAGGCGAACGAAAACCGAUGCUUGAAUUUAGUGAACUAGAAAGUAUUACAUUA